UACGGUUACCUUGUUACGACUUCGUCCCAGUCACCAGUCCCACCCUCGGCGCCUGCCCCCCUUGCGGGUUGGCCCAGCGACUUCAAGUGUUACCGACUUCCAUGACGUGACGGGCGGUGUGUACAAUCCCCGGGAACGUAUUCAACGCAGUGUGCUGACCUGCGUUUACUAGCAACUCCGCGUUCAUGCAGGCGGGUUUCAGCCUGCAAUUCCAACUGAGGCCGAAUUUGUGGGAUUAGCUCCGGCUCGCGCCUUCGCGACCCUCUGUUUCGGCCAUUGUAGCGUGUGUGCAGCCCAGAGCGUAAGAGCCGUGCUGACUUGACGUCAUCCCCACCUUCCUCUCCCCUUUUAGGAGCAGUCUCGCUAGACAUAGUAACUAACGACAAGGGUUGCGCUCGUUGCGGGACUUAACCCAACACCUCACGGCACGAGCUGACGACAGCCAUGCAACAUCUGUGUAUCCGUCUCCGAAGAGAAAACCUGGUUUCCCAGGCGGUCAGAAACAUGUCAAGCCCUGGUAAGGUUCUUCGCUUAUCAUCGAAUUAAACCACACGCUCCGCUGCUUGUGCGGGGACCCGUCAAUUCCUUUGAGUUUUAGCCUUGCGGCCGUACUCCCCAGGCGGGAUACUUAUCGCGUUAGCUUCGACAC
rnacentral:rRNA from 1 species